rnacentral:rRNA from 1 species
CAGUCGCCACGGUAAUACGAAGGGUGCAAGCGUUACUCGGAAUUACUGGGCGUAAAGCGUGCGUAGGUGGUGGUUUGAGUCCGUUGUGAAAGCCCUGGGCUCAACCUGGGAAUUGCAGUGGAUACUGGAUCACUAGAGUGUGGUAGAGGAUAGUGGAAUUUCCGGUGUAGCAGUGAAAUGCGUAGAGAUCGGAAGGAACAUCAGUGGCGAAGGCGGCCAUCUGGGACAACACUGACGCUGAGGCACGAAAGCGUGGGGAGCAAACAGGAUUAGAUACCCGAGUAGUCCCUGUCUCUUAUAU